UGAACGCUGGCGGCGUGCCUCAUACAUGCAAGUCGAGCGAACAGAUGAGGAGCUUGCUCCUCUGACGUUAGCGGCGGACGGGUGAGUAACACGUGGAUAACCUACCUAUAAGACUGGGAUAACUUCGGGAAACCGGAGCUAAUACCGGAUAAUAUAUUGAACCGCAUGGUUCAAUAGUGAAAGACGGUUUUGCUGUCACUUAUAGAUGGAUCCGCGCCGCAUUAGCUAGUUGGUAAGGUAACGGCUUACCAAGGCAACGAUGCGUAGCCGACCUGAGAGGGUGAUCGGCCACACUGGAACUGAGACACGGUCCAGACUCCUACGGGAGGCAGCAGUAGGGAAUCUUCCGCAAUGGGCGAAAGCCUGACGGAGCAACGCCGCGUGAGUGAUGAAGGUCUUCGGAUCGUAAAACUCUGUUAUUAGGGAAGAACAAAUGUGUAAGUAACUAUGCACGUCUUGACGGUACCUAAUCAGAAAGCCACGGCUAACUACGUG
rnacentral:rRNA from 1 species